ACGAACGCUGGCGGCGUGCUUAACACAUGCAAGUCGAACGGAAAGGCCCUGCUUUUGUGGGGUGCUCGAGUGGCGAACGGGUGAGUAACACGUGAGUAACCUGCCCUUGACUUUGGGAUAACUUCAGGAAACUGGGGCUAAUACCGGAUAGGAGCUCCUGCUGCAUGGUGGGGGUUGGAAAGUUUCGGCGGUUGGGGAUGGACUCACGGCUUAUCAGCUUGUUGGUGGGGUAGUGGCUUACCAAGGCUUUGACGGGUAGCCGGCCUGAGAGGGUGACCGGCCACAUUGGGACUGAGAUACGGCCCAGACUCCUACGGGAGGCAGCAGUGGGGAAUAUUGCACAAUGGGCGGAAGCCUGAUGCAGCAACGCCGCGUGCGGGAUGACGGCCUUCGGGUUGUAAACCGCUUUCGCCUGUGACGAAGCGUGAGUGACGGUAAUGGGUAAAGAAGCACCGGCUAACUACGUG
rnacentral:rRNA from 1 species